rnacentral:rRNA from 1 species
UACGGAGGGGGCGAGCGUUGUCCGAAGUUACUGGGCGUAAAGCGCGCGUAGGCGGGUUGGCAAGUCCGCUGUGAAAGCCCGGCGCUUAACGCCGGAGGGUCGGUGGAUACUGCCAGUCUUGAAGGUGCUAGGGGAAGAUGGAAUUACCAGUGUAGCGGUGAAAUGCGUAGAUAUUGGUAGGAACACCAGUGGCGAAGGCGGUCUUCUGGAGCACUCUUGACGCUGAGGCGCGAAAGCUGGGGGAGCGAACGGG